CCUACGGGGGGCAGCAGUGGGGAAUAUUGGACAAUGGGGGCAACCCUGAUCCAGCCAUGCCGCGUGUGUGAAGAAGGCCCUCGGGUUGUAAAGCACUUUCAGUGAGGAAGAACGCCUGGUGGUUAAUACCCAUCAGGAAAGACAUCACUCACAGAAGAAGCACCGACUAACUCCGUGCCAGCAGCCGCGGUAAUACGGAGGGUGCGAGCGUUAAUCGGAAUUACUGGGCGUAAAGCGCGCGUAGGUGGCUUGAUAAGCCGGUUGUGAAAGCCCCGGGCUCAACCUGGGAACGGCAUCCGGAACUGUCAAGCUAGAGUGCAGGAGAGGAAGGUAGAAUUCCCGGUGUAGCGGUGAAAUGCGUAGAGAUCGGGAGGAAUACCAGUGGCGAAGGCGGCCUUCUGGACUGACACUGACACUGAGGUGCGAAAGCGUGGGUAGCAAACAGGAUUAGAUACCCGGGUAGUC
rnacentral:rRNA from 1 species